GAGCCUGAAGGGAAAGUAACGAGAGCAGCCAGGAGCUGAAAGUGUGGGCAGAGGAACAGGCUGCUGAGGACGAGUUGGACGACGGUUUCCUGACCUGAAUCCUGAUUUCCUGUAAUCAAGUUUUGUGGACUGACAUGUUGUCUGGUUGGUGCUCAGCCCAGGACAGGGAGGCUCUGCAGCGGGUGAUCCAUCCAUCCACAGAGCAUCAGUGACAGAGGAGAGCAGGUGUCACUGGUGUAUCCUGGGCAGCAGCAUGGAACUGGACAGGAUGAUGAUGUCAGGGCUCUGAUGACCAAUGAGGCUCUACUCGCCAAAGACUGGCUGAGCUUGUCAUCGCUGCUCACUGCCGCCCAGUAAGUUCAUCGCUCCACUGCAGAGGUGCUACUGCGUGCCACUGUCGUCAGGAAACAGGCUGAAUAAGACCCCUCUUCGCCUGGCCGCCUCAGAGGGUCACUCCAUCGCAGUGGACCUGUUAGUGCUGAAUGGCACCAACAUCAAUGCCAAAGACAUGCCGAAGAUGACAGCGCUGCACCGGGUGGCUCAGCGCAGCCACAGGGAGGUGGCCGAGCUCCCGCUGAGGUACGAAGCAGACAUCGACUGCCUCAGCAAGUUCCACAAGACGCCUUUGGACAUCGCCAUGGAUACCAGCAACACUGAAGCUGAUGAUACUGCUACAGGCCGUUGUUUUCAGUGGAGGCUCUGAAAACCAACUGUACACAAUCUGCUCGGCACCAGACAACAGAGAGAUGCAGUUACCAACCAGCUGGUGAACAAAGUUGAGAACUGAAAAGCCUACAGAGAUGGCGUCCAGAACCAGAUAAAUAAGAACUCAGAUUCCCACUACAUCAUCCCGGCAGGUGGGGCUACUCAGCCCGUCAGAACUGAUCACCACCACCACCAAGACAAGACGGCGCACGCAUUCAUCACUUGUGUUAAGGACUCCUCAGACGAUGCGGUAAUCAAACGUGUCCUUCUCAGUGUGGUCUGUCCAGUUGGAUGAGGGCAUGCUGCGGUACGGGUCCAGCAGGAUGCGAAAACAGCGUACGAUGAGCAGGGCCAGGAAGAUGAAGAGCAG